UGGCCGCUGUACUCGGCAACUUGCGUCCACCACCCCAGUGGGGUUGUGAGUUGGGGCAUCCCGCGCGAUUUCAGGGGUGCGAUUCCUCUGCGGCCGA
rnacentral:tRNA from 1 species